rnacentral:lncRNA from 1 species
AUGCCAAUAUAUGUUGGCCCUUCUAUUUUCUUUUUCAAGAAUAACCACAUGAAGAACUAUAAAUUGUGCCUCUGUUUAUAAAUUGUGCCUCUGUUUAUCAAUAGAUUUGAUGUCUAUGUGUGAGAGUUAUGUUUGAUACAUUUUAUAAGCAUAGUUCCGGUCGGGUUUUUUUAAUACCCGGUGCGGGUUUUUUCCCAACCCGAUGCAUACCCGAACCCUACCCGAUGAAUACCCGAACCAGACCCGAACCCGGAAAUAGGGUAUUAUAAUACCCGGGUUUUAUAAAACCCGACCCGAACCCUACCCGAACCCGGGUAUAUAGGGUAUACAUUUUUGGUAGAGAACCCGGACCCGGACCCGACCCGGUUUUUAAAAAAACCCGAUCCUACCCGAACCCGAUUUGUGCACCACUAUUUCAGUAGAGUGAACAAAAUAAAUUCUAAUUAACUGUAGCUUAUUAUUAACCGAAACCGUAACCGAUUGAUAACCGAUUUAGGACUAAUCGGUUUAGUGGUUAUUUUUAACCAUUGGUUAGUAAUCGGUUAUAAGUAAUUAGUAAUCGGU